rnacentral:RNase_P_RNA from 1 species
UCCGGGGGAAGCUCACCGCCGAGGCCACGCACUGGGUGCGCGUCACCCCAGCCCCGCCUCGGGGAAGGUCUGAGAGAAGGGCCGCCCGCGGCUCUAGCAGAGCCCCGCCCGCGACGGGCGGGUGAGCCACCAGCAAGGGGGGGCGCCGGGAGGGCCGGCCUGGGCAGGAGAAGCCGAGCGGGGUCCUGCACUGCACGGAACCCCCGGCGGAUGCCCAUGGCCCCGCGGUGCUUUGAGACAGACUCACGGCUGGCGAUUGCUGAGUCCAAUGGGUGAGGUGGGGCAUCGCCCUACAACCCAAUUCAGACUACUCUCCCCCGGA